rnacentral:rRNA from 1 species
CCUACGGGGGGCUGCAGUGGGGAAUAUUGGACAAUGGGGGCAACCCUGAUCCAGCCAUGCCGCGUGUGUGAAGAAGGCCCUCGGGUUGUAAAGCACUUUCAGUGAGGAAGAACGCCUGGUGGUUAAUACCCAUCAGGAAAGACAUCACUCACAGAAGAAGCACCGGCUAACUCCGUGCCAGCAGCCGCGGUAAUACGGAGGGUGCGAGCGUUAAUCGGAAUCACUGGGCGUAAAGCGCGCGUAGGUGGCUUGAUAAGCCGGUUGUGAAAGCCCCGGGCUCAACCUGGGAACGGCAUCCGGAACUGUCAAGCUAGAGUGCAGGAGAGGAAGGUAGAAUUCCCGGUGUAGCGGUGAAAUGCGUAGAGAUCGGGAGGAAUACCAGUGGCGAAGGCGGCCUUCUGGACUGACACUGACACUGAGGUGCGAAAGCGUGGGUAGCAAACAGGAUUAGAUACCCUAGUAGUC